rnacentral:rRNA from 1 species
CGCAAGUCGAAUUGGACUCUUCGUUUGCUACCUAGUGGCGGGUGAGUAGGGUACACGAGGAUGGACACUCCCGCUUGGGUACAACAGAGGGAAACGUUAUGCUAAUCCCCACUGAGCCGAAAGGUAAAAGCAAAAUCGCAUGGGGAUGAGCUCGGGUUUGAUUAGCUAGUUGGUGAGGUAAAGGUAUCACCUAGGCGAGGAUCAUUAGCUAGGUUUGAGAGGAUGAUCAGCCACACAGGGACUGAGAUCACGACCCGGGGUCAUAGGGGGGGCAACAGUGCAGAAUUUUCCACCAUGGGCCCAACCCAACCGGAGCAAGACGGCGUGGGGGAGGAAGGUUCUUGGGUUUUAAACCCCUUUUUUCAAGGAAGAACACAAUGACGGUACUUGAGGGAUGAGCCUGGGCUAACUCCGUGCCAGCCAGCGCGGUAAUUCGGAGGAGGCAAGCGUUAUCCGGAAUGAUUGGGGGUAAAGCGUCCGUAGGGGCCAGUUCAAAUGUGGGGUCAAAAACCCCGGGUCUACUCCCGGAAGGCACCUGGAAACUGAACAGGUAGAGAACGGUAGGGGGGGAGGGAAUUCCCGGUGUAGCGGUGAAAARUGUAGAAAUUGGGAAGAACACCCGUGGNGAAAGCGGUCUCCUGGGCCGAAAUUGACACUGAGGGACGAAAACUAGGGGANNANANAAGGGAUUAGAUACCCCMGUAGUCCMACCCCUAAACKAKGCCUUWAAUAGGUGUAGCGAGUACUUUCCCGGUCGGUGCCGAAGCUAACGCGUUAAGUAUCCGCUUGGA